GCGAGAAGAUGAGCGCGCGCCGUUGGCGCCUCCUGUUGAGGCGCGGCGUGAGGAGUGCGGGCGGGCCGGGCGACGAAGGAAAGGGGAGGCGGUACAAAAUUGCCCGUGUGCUCGAAUCUCUGCUUAGACUGCUGCUACAAAACUCUCCAAGAGAAGGAGGUAGUGGGCACAGUUCAAAGGAGACUGGAGGAUGUCUUUCACUCUAACCUAGUGAUGUACAGUUACUCGAGAUUGGGUUAUUUCAUGUGAUAAUGGCUCAAGACAUUUCCUGCUCUCACCUGAGGUCCCUGCUCAGUUUUAAAGUCAAAUGGGUUUCCAACCACCCUGGACUUGGCCUUCUCAACACUCCUCUCCACGAACUCAUUAUAUAUAUCUUCUUGAACGUAUGUUCGGGAUCCUGCAC